rnacentral:rRNA from 1 species
CAGUAGCCGCGGUAAUACAGAGGGUGCAAGCGUUAAUCGGAAUUACUGGGCGUAAAGCGCGCGUAGGUGGUUUGUUAAGUUGGAUGUGAAAUCCCCGGGCUCAACCUGGGAACUGCAUCCAAAACUGGCAAGCUAGAGUAUGGUAGAGGGUGGUGGAAUUUCCUGUGUAGCGGUGAAAUGCGUAGAUAUAGGAAGGAACACCAGUGGCGAAGGCGACCACCUGGACUGAUACUGACACUGAGGUGCGAAAGCGUGGGGAGCAAACAGGAUUAGAGACCCGUGUAGUCCCUGUCUCUUAUAC